UACGUAGGGGGCAAGCGUUGUCCGGAAUCAUUGGGCGUAAAGAGCUUGUAGGCGGCCAGAAAAGUCCGCUGUGAAAACUCGAGGCUCAACUUCGAGCUGUCGGUGGAAACUUUCUGGCUAGAGUCCGGAAGAGGAGAAUGGAAUUCCUGGUGUAGCGGUGAAAUGCGCAGAUAUCAGGAAGAACACCCGUGGCGAAGGCGGUUCUCUGGGACGGUACUGACGCUGAGACGCGAAAGCGUGGGGAGCGAACAGG
rnacentral:rRNA from 1 species